AGCGAACGUUAGCGGCAGGCUUAACACAUGCAAGUCGAGCGAGAAAGGGGCUUCGGCCCCCGGUAAGCGGCGGACGGGUGCGUAACACGUGGAUAAUCUGCCCUUUGGCGGGGGACGAACCAUUCGAAAGGAUGGCUAAUACCGCAUAAGUCGGCGAGGUCUUUGACUUCGCCGGGAAAGGGGGCGGCCCGCAAGGGGCUCCCACCAGAGGAUGAGUCCGCGGCCCAUCAGCUAGUUGGCGGGGUAAUGGCCCACCAAGGCAAAGACGGGUAGCUGGUCUGAGAGGAUGAUCAGCCACACUGGGACUGAGACACGGCCCAGACUCCUACGGGAGGCAGCAGUGGGGAAUAUUGGACAAUGGGCGCAAGCCUGAUCCAGCCAUGCCGCGUGAGUGAUGAAGGCCUCGGUC
rnacentral:rRNA from 1 species